AGCUCCAAUAGCGUAUAUUAAAGUUGUUGCAGUUAAAAAGCUCGUAGUUGGAUUUCUGUUUUGAACAAUCGGUCCGUUGGCGUAAGCUAAUGUGUACUUGUGUUGUUUGAUUCAUCUUUUGUGAGGAGGUUUAUCUGGCAUUAAGUUGUUGGGUUUUCAUACUUGCAUCGUUUACUGUGAAAAAAUUAGAGUGUUUAAAGCAGGCGUUUGCUUUCGAAUACAUUAGCAUGGAAUAAUAAGAUACGACCUUGGUGGUCUAUUUUGUUGGUUUGCACACCAGGGUAAUGAUUAAUAGGGACAGUUGGGGGUAUUUAUAUUUCAGCGUCAGAGGUGAAAUUCUUGGAUCGCUGAAAGAUAAACUUAGGCGAAAGCAUUUACCAUGGAUGUUUUCAUUAAUCAA
rnacentral:rRNA from 1 species